rnacentral:tRNA from 1 species
GGCCUCAUCGUCUAAUGGUUAGGACAGCGGCUUCUCAAGCCGUCAAUAGGGGUUCGAUUCCCCUUGGGGCUA